rnacentral:rRNA from 1 species
CUCCGUUGGUGAACCAGCGGAGGGAUCAUUACCGAGUUUACAACUCCCAAACCCCUGUGAACAUACCUUACUGUUGCCUCGGCGGAUCAGCCCGCUCCCGGUAAAACGGGACGGCCCGCCAGAGGACCCCUAAACUCUGUUUCUAUAUGUAACUUCUGAGUAAAACCAUAAAUAAAUCAAAACUUUCAACAACGGAUCUCUUGGUUCUGGCAUCGAUGAAGAACGCAGCAAAAUGCGAUAAGUAAUGUGAAUUGCAGAAUUCAGUGAAUCAUCGAAUCUUUGAACGCACAUUGCGCCCGCCAGUAUUCUGGCGGGCAUGCCUGUUCGAGCGUCAUUUCAACCCUCAAGCCCUCGGGUUUGGUGUUGGGGAUCGGCGAGCCUUUCUGGCAAGCCGGCCCCGAAAUCUAGUGGCGGUCUCGCUGCAGCCUCCAUUGCGUAGUAGUAAAACCCUCGCAACUGGAACGCGGCGCGGCCAAGCCGUUAAACCCCCAACUUCUGAAUGUUGACCUCGGAUCAGGUAGGAAUA